rnacentral:sRNA from 1 species
GAAGAGCAGAACAUUAAACAGGGUGUUGUGAGGAUUAAGGGAGCAAAUGGCUGCGAAAGCACCUUGUAAAGGGUAGAGCAGUGUGCAGCGUGAGGGAUUAUUAUCAUUGUUAAGACGUCUACGCCUCGUUGCUCACCCUGUGUGUUCCUGCAGCUUCUCAACUUUUCCCUCCUUUCUCCCUGGUUUCCACGCCUGGGCUGCUGAGUCAGGGGACCAGCCAAGGCUGGCGAGGGCUGAACAAACACUCUGACAUGUCGAAGCAGGAAAUGACAGUUCCCAGGCAGCCCUCUGUUUUAGGUGUGGAACAGGCUCCAAACACACUUUGUGUGAUAAACUCUAGUAACACCAAGCUGAGCUCUACCUCCACCCCCACAGGCUGCAAGACCAGGACAUGAGGCUGAAAGUCAGGGAAGUCCCUGUGAGACGAGGGCCCUGGGCAAGCACUGGCCAGAUUGUAGCAAGGUCACUCACCAGGCCACCCCGCUGGUUCCACUUCGGCACCCACCUCUGGCAGCCAUGAUGCUUCUGCAGCAUGCCAGUUUGUUCGCUGAGACCUUCACAGAGGGUCGCACAACCACCCUGGACAGUGAGAAACUAAGGUGACUGAGGCAAGUCAUUGAACCACCCUGAGCCUCGGCUUCCUCAUCUAUGAAAUGGAGUUGACAGCAUCUGUCCUGCCUGUGGUAAAAAUUGUUGUGAUCCCACAACCAAAAGGAAAGAAAGAAUUAUGAGAAAAUAUGUACUUAUUCUGUGAAAAUAUGUGAGAUAUUCAUGAGAGACUUCCUGUUCCAGUGGACUCUUCCACCGCCCUUGAGUGGGGAACAUCCAGGCCUUCACACUCAUACGCUCAGCCCAUCACCCUUUUGUGCAAGGUGCAAGAUCCUCUGCCCACCUGAAGCCUCAAGGCCUGAUGGAAACCAUCCCCAGCCACUCCAGUACCUUUGACCGGAGCGUGACCCUGCUGGAGGUGUGCGGGAGCUGGCCUGAGGGCUUCGGGCUGCGGCACAUGUCCUCCAUGGAGCACACGGAGGAGGGCCUCCGGGAGCGACUUGCCGACGCCAUGGCCGAGUCACCCAGCCGGGACGUCGUGGGAUCCGGAACAGGCACAGUGAUUCCUAUCAACAAGGAGGAAGUGCCAGUGUGACCUCUGUGACCCUUCAGAGUCCCCUCUCCAGGUGCUGCCCCAACAUGAAGCAGGAAUUCCUGUGGAAAGGCACAGGCUUGGACCGAGGGGCUGGGGGAGGGCUGUUGGACCCCCAGAGCACAGGCUCUCCUCUGGAAGCAUUAACAUAGACACAGCCCUUGACGUAGCAGUAAAAACCUUCCCCCCUGAGAGACACGUGGCUGUGAAGUGUUUUGAACUUCAGCGAGAGGGAAGCAUCGAGACUCUGAGUAACAGCUCAGGCUCCACCAGCGGCAGCAUACCAAGAAACUUUGAUGGCUACCGAUCUCCGCUGCCCACCAAUGAGAGCCAGCCCCUCAGCCUCUUCCCGACUGGCUUCCCGUAGGUACCAGCAACCUGCUUCUGACUGGCCAGCCCCCUCCCCUGCUGGAGGAGGGGAGAAGCCCCACUCUGGUCCUACCCUUCAGUCUCUGCUCUUCCUUCAUCAACCACCUUCCCCAAGCUUAGUGACAGCAGCCGCCCUUCCUACCUGGAUGGAGAAGAGACCCUUCAAGCACCUCGGCGCACCUGCCCUCUGCCACACCCGUCAGUGGAGGCUGUGGCCAGGAGAGACUGCAGAAGCUCGGUCCCUGUGUAUGUUUGCAUAUGACAUCCUGCAUUGGAUCCGCUUUUGUAUUUUUUAACCUUACCCAUGGUGGGGCGGGUGCGGGGGGGGCCUGGAACAGUGACCAGAUCUGGGGGCCUGAGUGGGGACAGAGUUGAUGGUCCACCUGGCCAUCUUGAUCCUGAGUGGACAGUCACAGCCUCAGCUCAUGUCUGGCUGUGACACACACUGCCCCCAGCUUCCCUUGGUCAGCCCCGCUCCAGCACGGGGUGAACGGAGGCCCAGAGUUCUAGGGAAGGAGGAAGGGAGGGGAUGCCUCCUCUCUUCCUCCUUUCUUUCCCCAUCUGUUCAUGGAAAGAGUUUGUCUUUCUUAUCUUUAAGCCCCUUUACCCUGGUCCUGUACUGAUCAGUGAAGGAAACCGUGGUUACUGAGGCCCUGUUGAAAAGUGCACGUCUUGUCCAAUAAAUCACGCUGCAAUUGGUGUCCA